UACCAGCACCCCGAGUGGUCGGGACGUUUAUUGGGCCUAAAGCAUCCGUAGCCGGUUCUACAAGUCUUCCGUUAAAUCCAACUGCUUAACAGGUGGGCUGCGGAAGAUACUAUAGAGCUAGGAGGCGGGAGAGGCAAGCGGUACUCGAUGGGUAGGGGUAAAAUACCGUUCGAUCCAUUGAAGACCACCAGUGGCGAAGGCGGCUUGCCAGAACGCGCUCGACGGUGAGGAUGAAGCUGGGGGAGCAAACCGG
rnacentral:rRNA from 1 species